UUCUUUGACCUCUCUGCAUCAGUUACCGUCGCUGCUUUCGGAGGAAUGGUAGCUACCAUCUUUGGUUACUUCAAAAAUUUCUCUAAAGUUAUCGGUCAGGUUCCUGUUAGGUUCUCCGAGGUCUUCAUCUUCUUCACUGUUAUUUCUGGUCUUCUGGCAAUGCUGCUUACCACAGUACCACCUCCACUUUUCCAUCGCAAUGCUAGAUCGCGCUUCAUUACCUUCAUCACAGCCCUCGGCUGUUUUUUGUUUGGUUUGCUAGCACUGAUAGGGCUAGCAGUUGCUUAUGAAUUUUUGAAGGAAUUCAUUUUCCUGGCUUUCUUCCCGAUAUUCUUUGCAGCUGUGGUUUGGUUGAUCAGGGAAUUCGACCAGGAAGAUGGACCGAGCCAAGCUCACAAUGCCACAGGUGGUGAAAGCGAGCCUGACACCUCUUCGAUCACCAUUACCACUUUCAUUUUUGCAACAUUGAUGGCGGUUUACUCGAUGCACAUCGGCAGCGAAGAGAAUGACUUCCACCUUCAGACCUGCAUGUUCCUCAUGUCCGUGGCUUUUAUGUCCAGCAUGAGUUGGAUGCUACUGGCAUUCACACGUCCAAGAACACAAAGCCUGGAAAAGACUGUGAGGGUACUUACUUUGUUUGCCAUUGGUGGGCUGGUAUUUGCUAUGCUGGAUCUCAUCUUCUUGGGGAUUCGAACUAGCUAGUACUGCACAUAAAUCUCGAACAAUACAGG
rnacentral:lncRNA from 1 species